GACGAACGCUGGCGGCGUGCUUAACACAUGCAAGUCGAGCGGUAAGGCCCUUUCGGGGGUACGACGAGCGGCGAACGGGUAAGUAACACGUGGGUGACCUGCCCUCAGCUCUGGGAGUAAGCCUGGGAAACCGGGGUCUAAUACUGGAUAUGACUCCAUGACGCAUGUUGUGGGGUGGAAAGCCUUGUGCGGCUGAGGAUGGGCCCGCGGCCUAUCAGCUUGUUGGUGGGGUGAUGGCCACCAAGGCGACGACGGUAGCCGGCCUGAGAGGGCGACCGGCCACACUGGGACUGAGACACGGCCCAGACUCCUACGGGAGGCAGCAGUGGGGAAUCUUGCGCAAUGGGCGAAAGCCUGACGCAGCGACGCCGCGUGA
rnacentral:rRNA from 1 species